CUUGUGGCACUAAGGUAGAGGAAGGAGGGUCAGAAAAACCCCGUCGGCCCCCGACCACCCCAUGCAGUUGAAUCAAGCUCCACCUCCCCGACACCACCACACAUCGUCGUUUGUUCGUGUUCAUCGCGCCCCACCUCCGCCGCACCCAAGCCAAGCCAAACCUCGGUGGGGAGCGUGUCUCCGUCAAUCAAUCAAGCGCAUGGCCACCGUUCCCAGCAACACCCUCGUCAAGGUGGCGGAGCUCGUGUCGACGCACUCCUCGCCAGAGUCGGUCUAUGGCGCAGGUCAUGGGGUGGAAGCCGAUGCUCGCGCUUGCGCUCAUGUACCUGAGGAAGCACCACACGGGGUGCCUGUUCUCGGUCGAGGUCGAUGCUACUCGUGGCGUGCCGGCCUCCAUGGAGGGGUUCCGCCUCGCUGUCUGUGCACAAGGUGGAGACUAGGGAUGGCUUAGUGCAGACCCCGCCGUGCUGGUGUUGUCUCGGAGGGAGGAACAAGACCAUUGCAGCUGUGUUGACCGUUGAGUUACCCACGAUCGUCUCCACAUGUCCUAUUCCUGUUCAAGGAGGAGUGCGGUGAGCCAGUACCCGGUGACGCCGUUGCGGACCCUGCUCGACAAGCUCUUCAGUGGCGACAGCCCCUACGUGGGCUUCCCUCCUGAGCACACGACAACCGGUGUGAUGACUAGAAUCGAUCUAGUGUAUAAUGUAAACAUAUCUGCUUUUGGCAACCAUGUUACUUUUGUUAUAGAGUCUGGAGAGGUAAUUGACGAUCUCCCAAAUUAAAGCCAGAUAUCCAAUUCAUCAUUAUGUUGUGGUCAUGGCAAAGUCGGGAGAACCAUAUUUCGACCAAAGCAAGCAGAGGCAGGGGUGUGAGGAGCAGAUGGAUUACGAUGGCUGCAGUGGGGAGGAAGCAUGAGGUACGUGGUGGGGGCAGAUCGGAGGAGGCCGACCACGGGUGCGAGUAGGUGGAGCACAGUGAGAAAAGGAAGAGGCGGAGGAGGCCGGGGCGUGAGGGAGAGGUUGUGGACGCUUGACGCGUGUCGCGACGUGAAUCGUGGCGGCACCGUGAAGCUCGGAGAGCACAACAAAACAGUCGUCUUUUAAUAAUUCUGAUAUACGAGUCUUCAAUUGCACAAGCUAACUAAUGUUCCACAGAGAUAUGGGGAAUGAUCUGCAUGGUCGUCACUGCUCGAAUCGUGAUGCCAAGGGCAACGGUGAGGCUUUCAGCAGGCCGAAUAUGGUUCUCCAUGCCAGAUCAAGCACUCUGCUUCCUUGGUGGGGCCAACUCAAUCUUUGCUAACGAGAAACUUCUCACAACCGCGAACAACGACUUUGACGUGGACCAGGCGAUGUUUACAUUCUGUUCACCUAUAUAUGCCUAUGCUAUUUAUUGACUCAAUCAUUGUAGCAAAAAAUUAUAUUGCACUAGCAAAUAUGAUGUUUUUAUAUUC